AGGUGCUGCAUGGCUGUCGUCAGCUCGUCGCCGUGAGGUUGGUUGGGUUAACGUCCCGCAACGAGCGACCAACCCCUACUGCCAGUUACCAACACGUUAUGGUGGGGACUCUGGCGGAACUGCCGGUGACAAACCGGAGGAAGGUGGGAUGACGUCAAGUCCUCAUGGCCCUUAUGUCCAGGGCUACACACGUGCUACAAUGGUCGGUACAGAGUGACGCGAAGCCGCGAGGUGAAGCAGAUCGCAGAAAGCCGGCCUUAGUUCGGAUUGGAGUCUGAAACUCGACUCCAUGAAGGUGGAAUCGCUAGUAAUCGCGCAUCAGCAUGGCGCGGUGAAUACGUUCCCGGGCCUU
rnacentral:rRNA from 1 species